rnacentral:misc_RNA from 1 species
GAAAUGCGAUAAGUAGUGUGAAUUGCAGAAUUCAGUGAAUCAUCGAAUCUUUGAACGCACAUUGCGCCCCUUGGUAUUCCAUGGGGCAUGCCUGUUCGAGCGUCAUCUACACCCUCAAGCUCUGAUUGGUGUUGGGCGUCUUUGUCCCGCCUCCGCGCGCGGACUCGCCCCAAAUUCAUUGGCAGCGGUCUUUGCCUCCUCUCGCGCAGCACAUUGCGCUUCUCGAGGUGUUGCGGCCCGCGUCCAGAAAGCAAUCGUUACCGUCUUUGACCUCGGAUCAGGUAGGGAUACCCGCUGAACUUAAGC